UGAUCCUUUCAAGUAAUGGAGCACCAAGAGUUAGUUUAGUGCAAAACAAGAUGUAACAUUUGAACUACACGCUUCACCUUUUUUUUUUUGAUGCAAACGAUCUAAAUUAAAGUUAUAUGUGGGUUUGUUCAAAUGUUCCAUCAUUGUUAACUCAAGUUCUCGUAUAUGUAUAUCAUUCAAAACACAAUAAUUUCACUUCUCGUAUAAACAAAGACAACAACUUAC
rnacentral:lncRNA from 1 species